rnacentral:rRNA from 1 species
AAAUGAAUUGACGGGGGCCCGCACAAGCGGAGGAACAUGUGGUUUAAUUCGAUGAUACGCGAGGAACCUUACCCGGGAUUGAACGUAAGUGGAAUAACGUCAAAAGAUGUUAGCUAGCAAUAGCCGCUUACGAGGUGCUGCAUGGUUGUCGUCAGCUCGUGCCGUGAGGUGUCGGCUUAAGUGCCAUAACGAGCGCAACCCUUAUUGCCAGUUACUAACAGGUGAAGCUGAGGACUCUGGCGAGACUGCCGGCGUAAGCUGUGAGGAAGGUGGGGAUGACGUCAAAUCAGCACGGCCCUUACAUCCGGGGCGACACACGUGUUACAAUGGUGGGGACAGCGGGGAGCUACCCGGCGACGGGAUGCCAAUCCUAAAACCCCAUCUCAGUUCGGAUCGGAGUCUGCAACUCGACUCCGUGAAGCUGGAUUCGCUAGUAAUCGCGCAUCAGCCAUGGCGCGGUGAAUACGUUCCCGGGCCUUGUACACACCGCCCGU